AGCGUAGACGGCAAGGCAAGUCUGAUGUGAAAACCCAGGGCUUAACCCUGGGACUGCAUUGGAAACUGUCUGGCUCGAGUGCCGGAGAGGUAAGCGGAAUUCCUAGUGUAGCGGUGAAAUGCGUAGAUAUUCGGAGGAACACCAGUGGCGAAGGCGGCUCACUGGUCCAUUACUGACGCUGAGGUGCGAAAGCGUGGGAGCAAACA
rnacentral:rRNA from 1 species